rnacentral:misc_RNA from 1 species
UCCGAGUUGACCCCGGCAGUCUCCUACGAGUCCCCGACAUUACUCGCUGGCAACAUGGGACAGGGGCUGCGCUCGUUGCGGGACUUAACCCAACAUCUCACGACACGAGCUGACGACAGCCAUGCACCACCUGUGCACUAGUCCCGAAGGAGGACCGUAUUUCUACGGUUUUCUAGUGCAUGUCAAGCCCUGGUAAGGUUCUUCGCGUUGCAUCGAAUUAAACCACAUGCUCCGCUGCUUGUGCGGGUCCCCGUCAAUUCCUUUGAGUUUUAACCUUGCGGCCGUACUCCCCAGGCGGAGAACUUAAUGCGUUAGCUGCGCCACCGAAAGCCGAAGGCCCCCGACAGCUAGUUCUCAUCGUUUACGGCGUGGACUAC